UUCUGUGCUUAGUUUAGGUCCUGCUUUGUGCCUAAGGCUCCAGAAAGUCUCUGUGCAAACAGUUUUAGGGCAGAUGUGCCAGAGGAGAACCAAGAUCUCGGACGUGAUGUGUAACAUGAAAUGACAGUUGUGCUACUUAUUUCUCUGGAGGAAGAUUUAUAUUUAUAACAACAACUUAGUAACCUAGCGACCCAUUGCUAGGCCUCCUCUGGAAGCAUGCACAGAGCCCCCGCACCAGUGUGGUGCACAAGCACAACCCCAGACCAGGCCAGGCCCCUGGGCAGACUCAGGUAGUGCAAUGAAUGGACUUAAUGGAUUGGUAGCGUUUUUAUUCUAGUUGUGUUCUUCGAUGAAGCCAUGGGAGGUGAUGCUUCCAGUCUAUCAGAUCAUUGGACC